rnacentral:rRNA from 1 species
CAAAUUGAGAGUUUGAUCCUGGCUCAGGAUGAACGCUGGCGGCGUGCCUAAUACAUGCAAGUCGAACGCUUUGUGGUUCAACUGAUUUGAAGAGCUUGCUCAGAUAUGACGAUGGACAUUGCAAAGAGUGGCGAACGGGUGAGUAACACGUGGGAAACCUACCUCUUAGCAGGGGAUAACAUUUGGAAACAGAUGCUAAUACCGUAUAACAAUAGCAACCGCAUGGUUGCUACUUAAAAGAUGGUUCUGCUAUCACUAAGAGAUGGUCCCGCGGUGCAUUAGUUAGUUGGUGAGGUAAUGGCUCACCAAGAC